AACGAACGCUGGCGGCAUGCCUAACACAUGCAAGUCGAACGAGACCUUCGGGUCUAGUGGCGCACGGGUGCGUAACGCGUGGGAACCUGCCCUUAGGUUCGGAAUAAUUCCCCGAAAGGGGUGCUAAUACCGGAUAAUUUCUUCGGACAAAAGAUUUAUCGUCCUUGGAUGGGCCCGCGUUGGUUUAGCUAGCUGGUAGGGUAAAAGCCUACCAAGGCGAGGAUCCAUAGCUGGUCAGAGAGGAUGAUCAGCCACACUGGGGCUGGGACACGGCCCAGACUCUUACGGGAGGCAGCAGUGGCGAAUAUAGGACUAUGGGGGAAGUCCUGAUGCAGCACUGCCGCGUAAGUGAUGAAGGCCGGAGGGUAGUAAAGCUCUUUUACCCGCGAUGAUAAUGACGGUACCGAGAGAAUAAGCACCGGCUAACUCCGUG
rnacentral:rRNA from 1 species